UGGUGGAGUGAUUUGUCUGGUUAAUUCCGUUAACGAACGAGACCUCGACCUGCUAAAUAGUUCCCGCCAGUCUAACUGGAGGGAUACUUCUUAGAGGGACUAUCGGUGUGUAGCCGAUGGAAGUUCGAGGCAAUAACA
rnacentral:rRNA from 1 species